AUUGAUACUCCUUUUUCCCCUUCGUCAUUUCAUGUCUUCUUGUGGACUUAUCCAGUAGUUUUUCAAAUUUCAGGAGUCAGGUUUCGAAAGCGUUACUGGUUCUACCGUUCCCAGCGUGUUCCUUCUAGGCGUUCUGCCUCUCUGCAGAGACCUCAUUACCUUCCGCCCUCCGCAUGGCUGUUUAGCUGUGCCUCACGGACCAUGGAACCAGCGACUUUGAUCAUUGUAUCUGUCUGGAGUCUAGAGUCCAAAUCCAUAUGAAAGGUAGCGGGCACCAGCUAUGGAGACUAAGCUUGUGUGGCUCAUGGAUCCAGAAACAAGAAGUAACCACGAUGGCUGCAGAGAGACUAGCUCUUGGGAGUGUCUCUAGUUUGAGCACAAACAGAAGAAAGAUCUAAAAACCCUUUCAGGAGCAUUAUGACGUAUCAGGUGACAGUAACCUAAGGAUGCACAAGGAAUGUCACUCAUCGGUGCUGAAUUCCCCAGGGUAAACCAGUGACAGAACCAAAGCACAGCGGUAAUAGUAAGACAGGGUACAGGUGUCGUCAAAACAGCGUUGUUUCAACCAAUGAAGAAGUAUAUACACAGUGGGGGACCUCUGAGACUGUAUUGAAAUCGGGAAACUCUUGGAGCUUCAUGACAUUAAUGUCAUAGUAAAAUAGACCAUGUAUUUGUGACCAUGGUUAUGUGAACUAAACCACCAAUCUGGCCCUUAUGUAAAGGUUCACCCUAAAAACUAUAUACAUACACAGUACUUGAUAAUGAUGAUGUCUGUCAUUUCAGGGAAGUCAUGACAGGAACUCACACAGCUAACCACAUCACAGCCACAGCUGAAGACAGACUGGAUCUCACCCACACAGGCUACCUGCUUAAUUGUGCCCAGACAGCUUUUUUUUCACUACUCAUCAGUUCAGUGCUAAGCCUAUGAAAUUGUCCCAACUGGUGUUCAGGGCGGACCUUCCCACCUCUGUUAAUAAUCAAAAACAAAUCCCCUACAGAUAUGGCCACAGGCUGGUCUAGAUAAUUCCUCAUUAAGACCCUCUUCCCAGGUGAUCCUAGGUUUAAGCAGAUAGUUAAAACUGAUCAGCCUGGUUUAUCAUAUUGGGGUUGGGGGAGCUUACUGUAAACAUGGUGUAUUACUCUUCAGUGGACCUUUUCACCCUGUGUUUAUGCUUACAGUAUGUGUUGAUAGCAUCGUUCUCUGGUGCUUGAUUUAAGCUCAUGCUUUGUUCAUCCUGGACCCUAAAUAUAAAAAAAAUCCACUGCUGAUGUGACUAGCAAGAGGUCACAUGGAGUAAUUGACCUGGAAAUGAAAUUUUAAGUGAUUAAGGACUAUGGAGGUGAAAAAUCGAUGGCGGUUAUUGCUCUCCAAUCAAGCAUGCCCCAGCUCGAAGCUACGGUCUUGAAAAAUGUGUACAAGGGGAUCGAAGCUGCUUAAGGAUCUGAUUUGUGGAAGUCGCUAGAAGGUGGCAAUGGAAUCCUAGCACUUGGGAGACAGAGACAAAAGGACCAGAAGUGUAGCGUCAUCCUUGGCGACAUGGGGAGUUAAAAGCCAACCCGCACUCUCUGAACUUCUAUUUCCAAAAACUAAAAACUACCUAGAUGAGGCUGGGUAAGAUUUGGAGGAACCUCCAAUGGCCUGGAUCAAAGACCAGACAGAACUACAAUGUAUCCAAGCAGCAAGACAAUGGGGACCAUUUGCUGGACCCGCCCACAAGGUUGAGGUUCCAGGUGGUUUGAGCUAAUCAAGGAGUGUUAUUUUGUUACUCGAUGUCAGAACAAGCAGUGGGUCUCCCAGGGCUGAUGGCUCUUAGAUACUCUGUGGAAGCUGACUGCCGGAGGGAGCUACUUGUAGAAUAAGAUCUUUAGUAUGGA